CAUGGAGUAGCUCAGCGGCAGAGCGCCUGGCUUGUUACCGGGAGGGCGCAGGUUCGACCCCUGCCUUCAUGC
rnacentral:tRNA from 1 species